UGAGGUGACUGGAGCAUAGAGACCUGGGCGAAUGACAGCAGCACCUGCCUGUGUCUGAGUUUCAUUACCUCAGAACACUUAGGGACUGAAAAAGAAAUAGAACGACAGAGAAGGAAACUCGACAAAUCGAAAUGCCCCCACUUGAGAGGCACCGCCGUUCAGUUAACAGAACUCCCCGAAGAAUCAAGAUGUGUGGAUUAGGUCAACCCAAACUGAACUUCAAACUGGACUAUUUAAGGUUUGUCAUUCUGAUCUCAAUCUGGAGUCAAUUACCAUGGAAAUGCCUGUCUGAAUUUACUGAAGGUUUGACACCACGUAAUACUUUGUAGCACUGAUGAUGAUGACAGCACGAAAACCAGAGGUGAAUAUGCAGAGCAAAGCAUAACAAUUGGUACAGCUCAGAACUGUCCAAUCUUUGCUUAGUCUAAAACUCCUCUCCUACUUUCAAAUACAUUGAAAAUCAAAGUUGCCUUAAAGAAAUGCAAAAUCUUUUAAGUCAGAGAGGUCUUUCCAUUUGUGUCAGCGCUACUUAUUCAUCUCCUUCAGAGGAACAAAAUCUGAUGAUGAUUUAUUAACCUGAAGUGGCACACAUAGGCAUCUGUUUUCUUCAAGGAUCAUAUGAGUUAUUUGAAAAUAAAGAUAAAAUGCCUGAAA